GAUGAACGCUGGCGGUAUGCUUAACACAUGCAAGUCGAACGGUCACUUCGGUGAUAGUGGCGGACGGGUGAGUAACGCGUGAGAAUCUGUCUUCAGGUCGGGGACAACAGUUAGAAAUGACUGCUAAUACCGGAUGUGCCGAGAGGUAAAAGAUUUAUUGCCUGAAAGAGAGCUCGCGUCAGAUUAGCUAGUAGGUGGUGUAAGAGAUUACCUAGGCGACGAUCUGUAGCUGGUCUGAGAGGACGAUCAGCCACACUGGAACUGAGACACGGUCCAGACUCCUACGGGAGGCAGCAGUGGGGAAUUUUCCGCAAUGGGCGAAAGCCUGACGGAGCAAUACCGCGUGAGGGACGAAGGCUUUUUGGGUCGUAAACCUCUUUUUCUCAAGGAAGACACAGGACGGUACUUGAGGAAUAAGCAUCGGCUAACUCUGUGCCAGCAGCCGCGGUAAU
rnacentral:rRNA from 1 species